CCAAACUUGGUCAUUUAGAGGAAGUAAAAGUCGUAACAAGGUUUCCGUAGGUGAACCUGCGGAAGGAUCAUUAACGUGUUUGAACCGCGAGGUUCUUCAUUCCGAAGCUGUGCGCUUUUCGGGGCUGCACGCGGAGGAAAGCACUCUUCCACACCUGUGCACAUACACGGUGGGCGUGGAGGGGCUUAAUUGUCCCACCAAACCCCGCCGCUUUCAUCACACACACGUCUAUGUCAGUCUUGUAUGUAAAAAACAUUAUAAACACAACUUUCAGCAACGGAUCUCUUGGCUCUCGCAUCGAUGAAGAACGCAGC
rnacentral:misc_RNA from 1 species